rnacentral:rRNA from 1 species
GACGUAGGGCGGCGAGCGUUGUCCGGGAUUUAUUGGGCGUAAAGAGCUCGUAGGCGGCUUGUCGCGUCGUUCGUGAAAACCUGCAGCUCAACUGCAGGCUUGCGGUCGAUACGGGCAGACUAGAGUGCGGUAGGGGAGACUGGAAUUCCUGGUGUAGCGGUGAAAUGCGCAGAUAGUCAGGAGGAACACCGGUGGCGAAGGCGGGUCUCUGG